GGUUUGAUGCGCCUGGCCCGCCUCGUUUAGAGUGUGAGUGCCGGUGCGCGUCUGCCAUCUUUCCGUUUAAAGUGGCUGGGGAUUCACUUCCUUUGGCUACUCGAGACGGAUCUUUUACUUUGAAAAAAUUAGAGUGUUUAAAGCAGGCGUUUUGCUUGAAUACAUUAGCAUGGAAUAAUAAUUUAGGACUUCGGUUCUAUUUUGUUGGUUUCUAGAUCUGAAGUA
rnacentral:rRNA from 1 species